GUACAUUGGAUAUAGAACCCUUAUUCCUAGAAUUAGAUUUUCAUUUUGGCUACAGAGGUAAAUGUUCCAAAUCUUGUGAAAGUUGUACUUCAACUCAUUAGAACAUAGCAAGUCAAUGAUUUUAGCAUCCUCCCAUUUUACAGACAAAUCUUUCAACUAGGGUACUUGCAUAACAGCCACAUUUUCCUUAAUGUUUUUUACAUCGUAUUGGUGUUGUUUUAUACAUCUUCUAGGCAUCUUUUAGUUAUUCUUAUUUAAUGUCUUACCAAGCCAGACACUGAAUCAAGUAAUGGUAGCUUGUAUACUUUAUAUUUCUCUGCAUUAGGCCUAUAUUCUUUGUUGUUAUGGAUUGAAUUAUUAGAAAAACUGUAAUGUUCCUAUUUUCAGAAAUGGGAUAAGCAUGAUUCACUAAUACUCUUAUGGCACAUGGGAUAUCAUAGAAUGGUGUUUAGCCAGAGCAUCCUUAUUAGGUGUGAUAACAUAUGCAGAAGUGCACAACAUGCUAUACUUUUUAAGAUACUUGGUGCAGAUCUUUUGGACCAGGCUAUCUAAUUUACUGUCAAGAUAUCCAUUGAAGAAGACCGUCUCCCUGAGAACCUUCAAGUUAUUAAUUGCAUCUUCCUCCAUAAAGUUUAUAAGCUCACCAAAUGAUUGUGGAGAUGCUAGCAUUCUUGUACUUGGCUGUGUCAUUAGAAUAUGUAUGAAUGAGGAUGAGUCUGCUGCAGGGUUUUCUAAUUAUGGAGAUGGAAAAGAAGUACAUAUUUAAAAAUGCACCUCCUUAUCUAAUUGUUUGAGCUAUAAGGUUAACCCAUAGGGUUAUUGCUGGAGGCAAAUUUG
rnacentral:lncRNA from 1 species